rnacentral:lncRNA from 1 species
GAGCAUCAGGAAAUCGUACUUUUUCAACAGUUACCUUCGCCACAUCAGGGGAGAGAGGAACGCUAUGUAAGGUGGUGGCGUUUUUAUAGACUUUUCCAAGUGCCACCACCCGAGGAAGUUUGCCGCCCACUACCAGUAGCUCACAAUCCUCUGUCUGCCCAUUGAUAUCAUCCCCUGAUGUUGGAGGAGCCGCACAACUCCCCUUUGUGCUCUUGGGAGUGGGACUAACAAGGGGUUCAAU